UACGUAGGGUGCGAGCGUUGUCCGGAAUUAUUGGGCGUAAAGCGCGCGUAGGCGGCUUGUCGCGUCGGAUGUGAAAGCCCGGGGCUUAACUCCGGGUCUGCAUUCGAUACGGGCAGGCUAGAGUUCGGUAGGGGAGAUCGGAAUUCCUGGUGUAGCGGUGAAAUGCGCAGAUAUCGGGAGGAACACCAGUAGCGAAGGCGACACUCUGGGCCGGUACUGACGCUGAGGAGCGAAAGCGUGGGGAGCAAACAGG
rnacentral:rRNA from 1 species